GAUCAUUACGAUUUAUUUGCAAAGUUGUAAUCGACAUUUUUUUCCACCUUUAUGCUUGUGAACUGAUUAUAUGACGCAUGAUAGACUUACGAACUAUUAUUGUUUCUGUUAAACUCUAUUUUCAAUUUUUAAUUUGGUCUUUGUAUCUGCUAAAUGUACUACAGCACUUUGCUAAUAUGAUAUGUUGGACACUGAGAAGAUUAAUGUUAGAACUGUAUUUUUAAAUUUAAAUUGGGCGUUCAAGUUUGAGUUCUAUUAGAUGAUUGAUUUUCGACCUGCUUCGGAAUGAGAUAGCAG
rnacentral:lncRNA from 1 species